rnacentral:rRNA from 1 species
GAUGAACGCUGGCGGCGUGCCUAAUACAUGCAAGUCGAACGGUCGGUUUCGGCCGAUAGUGGCGAACGGGUGAGUAACGCGUUGGUGACCUGCCCUUUAGUGGGGGAUAACAGACCGAAAGGUCUGCUAAUACCGCAUGAGUUCUCGGGUGAUUAGAAGCCGGAGAAGAAAGCUGAAAAGCGCUGAAGGAGGGGCCUGCGUCCCAUCAGCUAGUUGGUAAGGUAACGGCUUACCAAGGCGAUGACGGGUAGGGGACCUGAGAGGGUGGCCCCCCACAAUGGAACUGAAACACGGUCCAUACACCUACGGGUGGCAGCAGUAGGGGGUAUUGGUGAAUGGGCGAAAGCCUGAACCAGCAACGCCGCGUGUGCGAUGAGGGCCUUCGGGUUGUAAAGCACUUUUUGCCGGGAAGAGGAAGGACGGUACCGGUAGAAUAAGCCUCGGCUAACUACGUGCCAGCAGCAGCCGCAGUAA